CUCAAUUACCCCAUCCUCGGGA
rnacentral:siRNA from 1 species